UGAGGAAUAUUGGGUCAAUGGGCGGGAGCCUGAACCAGCCAAGUCGCGUGAGGGAAGACGGUCCUAUGGAUUGUAAACCUCUUUUGUCGGGGAGCAAAGAGGCCACGUGUGGUCAAAAGCGAGAGUACCCGAAGAAAAAGCAUCGGCUAACUCCGUGCC
rnacentral:rRNA from 1 species